UACAGAGGUGGCAAGCGUUGUUCGGAAUUACUGGGCGUAAAGGGCGCGUAGGCGGCCUACUAAGUCAGACGUGAAAUCCCCCGGCUUAACCUGGGAACUGCGUCUGAUACUGGAAGGCUUGAGGAUGGGAGAGGGAUGUAGAAUUCCAGGUGUAGCGGUGAAAUGCGUAGAUAUCUGGAGGAACACCGGUGGCGAAGGCGGCAUCCUGGACCGGUAUUGACACUGAUGCGCGAAAGCCAGGGGAGCAAACGGG
rnacentral:rRNA from 1 species